rnacentral:rRNA from 1 species
GGUGUGGAUAGCGGAGAAAUUCCAAUCGAACUCGGAGAUAGCUGGUUCUCCUCGAAAUAGUUUUAGGACUAGCCUUGUUUCGUAGCAUUUGGGGGUAGAGCACUGAAUGAGGUAGGGGCCAACACGGUUACUGAACUCUAUCAAACUACGAAUACCAAAUGUGUAAGAACAAGAGUCAGACUGCGGGAGCUAAGUUCCGUGGUCAAAAGGGAAAGAGCCCAGAUCGUCAAUUAAGGUCCCAAAGAUAUAGUUAAGUGGAAAACGAUGUGAUUUUGCGUAAACAACCAGGAUGUUGGCUUAGAAGCAGCCAUUCAUUCAAAGAGUGCGUAAUAGCUCACUGGUCGAGUGAAGUUGCGCGGAAAAUUACCGGGGCUAAACUAUACACCGAAAUUGCGGAUUUGCAUAGAAAUAUGUAAGUGGUAGAGGAGCAUUCUAUAGUAGGACGAAGCAUAAUCGAAAGGAUAUGUGGACGAGAUAGAAGAGAGAAUGCCGGAAUAAGUAGCGAAAGCAUGGUGAGAAUCCAUGCCAUCGAAAGUCUAAGGUUUCCUGGGGAAGGUUCGUCCGCCCAGGGUAAGUCGGGACCUAAGGAGAGGCCGAAAAGCGUAUCCGAUGGACAGCAGGUAGAAAUUCCUGCACUACGUAAUACUUAAAAGACAUAAAUGACACAGGAGUGGAAGAUAAGCGAGGAAGAGGAAAGACUCGUAUCGAAAGAUAUAGUGAAAAUUAAAGUAACGAAUUAUCAAGAAGCUAAUGGCGAGAAAAGUUUAUGGAUAUUGUAUUAAGUACCCGUACCGCAAACCGACACAGGUAGAUGAGGAGAAGAUCCUAAGAUGAGCGAGAGAAGCAUUGUUAAGGAACUCGGCAAACUGACCCCGUAACUUCGGAAUAAGGGGUGCUGGAGUAAAAUCCAGUCGCAGAGAAUAGUCCCAAGCAACUGUUUAACAAAAACACAGGUUUCUGCUAAAUCGAAAGAUGAAGUAUAGGAGCUGACACCUGCCCAGUGCUGGAAGGUUAAGGGAAAGAGUUAGACGCAAGUCGAAGCUUAGAACUAAAGCCCCAGUGAACGGCGGCCGUAACUAUAACGGUCCUAAGGUAGCGAAAUUCCUUGUCAGGUAAGUUCUGACCCGCACGAAAGGUGUAAUGAUUUGGGAGCUGUCUCGACAAUGUACUCGGCGAAAUUGUAGUACUAGUGAAGAUGCUAGUUACCUGCGACAAGACAGAAAGACCCCAUGGAGCUUUACUGCAGCUUGAUACUGGGUUUCGGUAAUUUAUGUACAGGAUAGGUGGGAUGCUAAGAAGUAUGUGCGCCAGCGCAUAUGGAGCAGACGUUGGGAUACCACCCUUAAAUUACUGGAAUUCUAACUAUAAGUCCUAAGCGGGCUUGAGGACAAUGUCAGGCGGGCAGUUUGACUGGGGCGGUCGCCUCCUAAAGAGUAACGGAGGCGCGCAAAGGUUUCCUCAGCGCGGACAGAAAUCGCGCGAAAGAGUGCAAAGGCAGAAGGAAGCUUAACUGAGAGACAGACAUGUCGACCAGAUACGAAAGUAGGUCUUAGUGAUCCGGUGGUUGUAAGUGGAAAUGCCAUCGCUCAACGGACAAAAGUUACCCUGGGGAUAACAGGCUUAUCUCCCCCAAGAGUUCACAUCGACGGGGAGGUUUGGCACCUCGAUGUCGGCUCAUCACAUCCUGGAGCGGAAGUACGUUCCAAGGGUUGGGCUGUUCGCCCAUUAAAGUGGUACGCGAGCUGGGUUCAGAACGUCGUGAGACAGUUCGGUCCUUAUCUGUCGCAGGCGAAGGAUAUUUGAAGGGAGUUGACCUUAGUACGAGAGGACCAGGUUGAAGGAACCGAUGGUGCACCAGUUGUACUACCAAGUGCAUAGCUGGAUAGCUAAGUUCCGAAGGGAUAAACGCUGAAAGCAUCUAAGUGUGAAGCCCACCCUAAGAUAAGAUAUCCCAUAUCGAAAGAUAGU